UCCCUGGUGGCUCAGAUGGUAAAGAAUCUGCCUGAAAUGCAGGAGACCUGGGUUCGAUCCCUGGGUUGGGAA
rnacentral:tRNA from 1 species